UCAGAAGCAGUGGGCCACAUAUGAAUACGAAAAGGUUCACGACAUAGCUCGUAGCUCCUUUCAUUGUUUCUCUGGCUGCUGAUUCUGGGGUUUUAGUAUUUCAUAAUUACUCAAUGGAGAAAUUGAGGAAAGUGGUGAAUGAAAUUGCUUACACAACGCCACUAUCUCAAAACCUCUCUAAACUGUCGCCUCUUCAAUGCUCUCUCAUCCCUCUCCUCUUUCUCAGUUCCUCUUUCUACACCCUCGCUCUCUCCCUCCGCCACUUCCUCUACCGCCACCGCCUUUUUCGCCAACACCGGUUGCCAGUGCCAGUUAUCAGCGUCGGAAAUAUGACGUGGGGAGGCAAUGGGAAGACGCCCAUGGUUGAAUUCAUGGCCCUCUGGUUGGCCAAUUCUGGAAUUUCACCUCUGAUUCUUUCUAGGGGUUAUGCUGGUGGGGAUGAAGCUAAAAUGCUCCAAAGGCGGCUUCUUGGAAGAUCUGCUAAGAUUGGUGUGGGUGCAAACAGGGCAGCAACUGCUGCUCAUUUUUUUGAAAGAUAUGGUUACAUGGAUCCUGGCCCUGCUACAUGCUUGGAGAGGCUUUGUUUUGACCAAACAAUGGGAAGUCAUCUUGAUGCAGACAAAAUUGGUGCGGUGAUUCUAGAUGAUGGAAUGCAGCAUCGGAGCUUGUGGCGUGAUCUGGAGAUUGUUAUGGUAAAUGGACUGAUGCCAUGGGGAAACUAUCAUUUACUCCCACUUGGACCUUUGAGGGAACCUUUGACUGCACUCAGGCGAGCAGAUGUUGCCAUAGUCCAUCAUGCAGACUUGGUACUAGAACAAAGUCUCAAAGAUGUUGAACUAAAGAUGCAAGAAAUCAAAGAAUCUCUCCCUAUUUUCUUCACUAGAAUGGCUCCCUCACACUUAUUAGAAAUGGGAAACAUCGACUCCAAAAUGCCUUUGAGAUCUGUAUGCGACAAGGUUGUGUUAUGUGUUUCUGCAAUUGGUUUUGCAAAUGCCUUUGUGCAGGCAAUUGGGAGGAUAGGAGCCUUUUAUGUGGAUCGACUAGACUUCAGUGACCACCAUUUAUUUCAAGCCAAGGAUGUUGAGAUGAUUAGAAUGAGACUUGGAAAACUACAGGACAAAUUUGGUUUGAAGCCUGUUGUUGUUGUCACUGAAAAGGUUCAAACAAAGGUAUGAUCCUAAGGAUUACUGGUCCAAGGCAAGACUACUUAUUCAGCAUGAUAUAGGAACACAGAGGCAUUACAAAAAUGGCCAGUUUCUCACAUUCUCUCGAGGGUUGUCAUACUUCAGCAGAAGCUUCAUGCCCAAUGCCUUAAUGGAGCUCAACAAAAAUGGGAAAAACCAGCACUCAGAUGAGAGUUCAACAAUGAACGUUUUCAACAGGAAACAAAACAUAAUAGAAUAUCCGAUAAAUUUACCUGUUCGCAGAACUUGAUAGAGAGAUCUAGAUCAGCCACACGAAGCAUCAUCUGGCAAAGUGGUUCAGGAGUUGAGGCCAUUCUGGAUGAGCUCCCAACUGUAGCCUUCAGAAUCCUCCACAAAAGCAUAGAUGGUGGUGCCCCCUUCUGCAGCAGGCCGGCUCACGUGUGGCUACUCCACCAUAGGCUCGAACAACCUCAGUCAGUUUAUAAACCUGAAAGAUCAAGCGCUGAUCAGAGUCAAAACAUGAUCAAGGUCACACCUACAUGGAAAGCCAUCGACACCCACAUCGAACAACCAGAGCUCAAAAGUUAAAACUUGUCGUGAUAAGGAAAUCAUCAAUGUUGACAUAUUAAUAGAAGAACACAAAAAUAAAGCAAAUUACAUGUAAAGGUAUAUGAGAUUAAAGUGGUUCAACUAA